rnacentral:rRNA from 1 species
UACGGAAGGCAGCAGUGGGGAAUAUUGCACAAUGGGCGCAAGCCUGAUGCAGCCAUGCCGCGUGUAUGAAGAAGGCCUUCGGGUUGUAAAGUACUUUCAGCGGGGAGGAAGGCGGUGGAGUUAAUAGCUUCACCGAUUGACGUUACCCGCAGAAGAAGCACCGGCUAACUCCGUGCCAGCAGCCGCGGUAAUACGGAGGGUGCAAGCGUUAAUCGGAAUUACUGGGCGUAAAGCGCACGCAGGCGGUCUGUCAAGUCGGAUGUGAAAUCCCCGGGCUUAACCUGGGAACUGCAUUCGAAACUGGCAGGCUAGAGUCUUGUAGAGGGGGUAGAAUUCCAGGUGUAGCGGUGAAAUGCGUAGAGAUCUGGAGGAAUCCGGUGGCGAAGGCGGCCCCUGGGACAAAGCUGACGCUCAGGGUGCGAAAGCGUGGGGAGCAAACGAGGGAUUAGGAUA